rnacentral:tRNA from 1 species
GGCGAGGUGCCAGAGUGGUCGAUUGGGGUCGCCUGCUAAGCGAUUAUGCGGGUUAAAACCGCAUCAAGGGUUCGAAUCCCUUCCUUCCCG